rnacentral:misc_RNA from 1 species
CGUCUCUUUACUGAAAUUGAGGCAAGCCUACAAAGUGCUGAGUAAAAAUUUUACCUCAUCUCAGGAUCAAGGUCAUCUUUAAUCCCAAGAUGAAGAUAAUAAUCUGUAUCCAACUCCCAAAGAGCAGGUUUCCCAUCCUGUGGUCGGAAGUAACCCAAAAAUAAAUUUAUUGCAUCUUGCUUUUCACCAUCAGUAUAGGCAUUGCUGUAGUAACGCUUGAUUGACUUAAGAAAUUCUCUAGAUUGAGUUGUAGCUUUCCACUUUCCCUGCCUCUCUAGGAACACAGUAUUAUGAGCAGCAGAGCCACCAUAUUGUUGGGCAAGAGCAUCCCCCAUACUUUGGUACAUAUCCAUAAGAGCUGCAGCAAUGGUGCUGUCAGGAUCCACUUUGGGUAUGUCUGUAAGACCCAUUGCAUGAAGUUGAUGCCCUAAAGCUGCUAGGCCAUAAGCAUAUUGCGCAACAUUUGUUCGAUCUAUGCAGUCAAUACAGUUGGUACGUAGAACUCCACUUUGAAACUGUGGUGUUUCACCACCAACCUUAUUUUGUUGAUUCUGUUGACUAGAAUCAUUCUCUCUCUCUUGAUUUAAUGUAGAACUUGGAAUCUCAUCGCCACUUCCAAUCCUUGCAUGAUCCCCAAAGCCAGCUCUCAGGUCUCUAGGAGAAGCAUCCCUUCCAGUGCUUCUUCGACUAAUUUGGUUGAUUGUCCUCUUCACAAUGCUAGGUUUACCACUAUAGUAAAAACCUGUCAAAUCAAGUGCUUCAUUCGCCACAGCACCCAAAACAGCCAAAACAUUGGCAGACUUGCUCUUUGCAAACUUGUGAAAGUCCCAGUGGAUAAAUUUUAGAUGGUUUUCUUCUGAAAGAAUUGUGUUUAGAUACCCAACUGCAUUAGCAAACUCACGCCUUAGCAUCAUUUCUCUAGGUCUUUUUUCGACAGUCUUAAUUAAGCUAAGCACAAUUAUUGGAUUGCCAUAUCUCUUCACCAAGUCCUCAAAAUGCAAUUUUGUCGCAUGAUAGGUAGGAUCAUACCUUUGCAAG